AAGUAAGAAACAAAUUAAUUGUAAUCAGUUUCGACCUGAUCAGAAGAUAAAUAUUAUCCUUAUUUA
rnacentral:tRNA from 1 species